rnacentral:misc_RNA from 1 species
GCUUUGCGGCUGAUCCCCCUCUUUUCUAAGGAUCGCGGCCAUGUCGAGACCUCGUCCUCGGACGACCCGCUCGAUUGGAAGCGUUUCUCAGACACAACAGACGCGUCGCGUCGCCGUCCUCGCAUCCCUUCUGACCCGUAUUCGAAAUGGCCGCCCCGGUCGUCGUGGGGUACCCCCGGCUUCGACGGGCGCGCGGUCCGUGGGCUAGUAGCUCAGUUGGUUAGAGCGCGCGCUUGAUAAGCGUGAGGUCGGAGGUUCAAAUCCUCCCUGGCCCACCACCGGUCGACUGACGUGGCUCUCCGGCGCCCCGCGCCGCGACGGGCUCGGGGGCGUAGCUCAGCUGGGAGAGCGCCUGCUUUGCAAGCAGGAGGUCAUCGGUUCGAUCCCGUUCGCCUCCACCAGAUCCUGGUGGCUGGCGGUGGAUCGCCCGGCCCGGGAUCGCCCGAUCCAGGGCUGAUUGGCUCCAGGGCUGACUGGCUCCAGGGCUGACUGGCUCCAGGGCUGAUUGCCCAGGCAUUUCGACGGGUCCGCCCGAUCCGCGUGCGGCGGCGGGGCGUCUCGGGGUUCGCCGGUGCUGGCUGGCACCGGCGGAGGUCUUACUCAUCGUGAAUAGGUGUGACACACGGUUCGGAAACCGGAACGGUGUCUUGGCUCGGCGUCUGGUCGGGCUGGGACACGCGCGCGGGCCGAUCCGUGACAGUCGACAAGUUCUCAGCUGAUUAGCGGUGCCUGUCGCGUUCGGGGCUUGCCCCUGCACGAGACGGGCUUUCGCGAGAUCAAGCGCUGAAGGGCACAUGGUGGAUGCCUUGGCAUCGAGAGGCGAUGAAGGACGUGGCACUCUGCGAUAAGCCGUGGGGAGGGGAGAGCACCCGUUGAUCCGCGGAUUUCCGAAUGGGGAAACCCGGAAGC